rnacentral:rRNA from 1 species
CUAGUUGGUGGGGUAAAAGCUUACCAAGGCGACAAUCGGUAGCUGGUCUGAGAGGACGAUCAGCCACACUGGGAUUGAGAACGGCCCAGACUCCUACGGGGGGCAGCAGUGAGGAAUUUUCGUCAAUGGGGGAAACCCUGAACGAGCAACGCCGCGUGCAGGAAGAAGGUUUUCGGAUCGUAAACUGCUUUUCUCGGGGAAGAGAACGGACGGUACCCGAGGAAUAAGCCCCGGCUAACUACGUGCCAGCAGCCGCGGUAAUACGUAGGGGGCAAGCGUUGUCCGGAUUUAUUGGGCGUAAAGCGCACGCAGGCGGUCUCUUAAGUUUUGAGUGACAGGUGGUGGCUCAACUACCACAGGCCUUGGAAAACUGGGAGACUUGAGGACUUCAGAGGGAUGCGGAAUUCCAGGUGGAGCGGUGAAAUGCGUAGAGAUCUGGAAGAACACCAAAGGCGAAGGCAGCAUUCUGGGAAGUAACUGACGCUCAUGUGCGAAAGCUAGGGGAGCGAACGGGAUUAGAUACCCCGGUAGUCCUAGCCGUAAACGAUGACCACUAGACGUAGGGGGUAUCGACCCCUUCUGUGUCGAAGCUAACGCAUGAAGUGGUCCGCCUGGGGAGUACGGUCGCAAGAUUAAAACUCAAAGGAAUUGACG